rnacentral:rRNA from 1 species
UACGUAGGGGGCAAGCGUUAUCCGGAUUUACUGGGUGUAAAGGGAGCGUAGACGGCACUGCAAGUCUGGAGUGAAAGCCCGAGGCCCAACCACGGGACUGCUCUGGAAACUGCGGGGCUGGAGUGCAGGAGGGGUAAGCGGAAUUCCUAGUGUAGCGGUGAAAUGCGUAGAUAUUAGGAGGAACACCGGUGGCGAAGGCGGCUUACUGGACUGUAACUGACGUUGAGGCUCGAAAGCGUGGGGAGCAAACAGG